rnacentral:tRNA from 1 species
GGAAGUGGAAAGGUCACUGGUGGGCCUCCUGGACUUCAAAUCCAGUGGAAGGCGUGAGAAGCGUCUUCGGUGGGUUCGAUUCCCAUGCACUUCCGCCA